ensembl:lncRNA
GAGGGUGUGUGAGAGAGUGUGUGAGAGGGUGUGUGAGAGGGUGUGUGUGAGAGGGUGUGUGAGAGAGUGUGUGAGAGGGUGUGUGAGAGGGUGUCUGAGAGAGUGUGUGAGAGGGUGUGUGAGAGAGGGUGUGAGAGGGUGUGUGAGAGGGUGUGUGAGAGGGUGUGUGAGAGAGGGUGUGUGAGAGGGUGUGUGAGAGAGUGUGUGAGAGGGUGUGUGAGAGAGUGUGUGAGAGGGUGUGUGAGAGGGUGUGUGAGAGAGUGUGUGAGAGGGUGUGUGAGAGGGUGUGUGAGAGAGUGUGUGAGAGGGUGUGUGAGAGGGUGUGUGAGAGAGUGUGUGAGAGGGUGUGUGAGACGGUCAGUGAGAAGGGCGAGAAAGCCUGAAGGGAGUCUCCACGGCUGGGCUGAGAUGUUUGGUUAAUCCUGUCGUUGUUUUGAAAAAAACCCCACAAUAUACAGUUUUUAACAAUACGCACACGCGUCUAGAGACGGAACCAACCAUUUCGGGGCUAAAUCCGUG